GACGAACGCUGGCGGCGCGCCUAACACAUGCAAGUCGAACGAGCGAGAGAGAGCUUGCUUUCUCGAGCGAGUGGCGAACGGGUGAGUAACGCGUGAGGAACCUGCCUCAAAGAGGGGGACAACAGUUGGAAACGACUGCUAAUACCGCAUAAGUCCACGGGUCGGCAUCGACCAGAGGGAAAAGGAGCAAUCCGCUUUGAGAUGGCCUCGCGUCCGAUUAGCUAGUUGGUGAGGUAAUGGCCCACCAAGGCGACGAUCGGUAGCCGGACUGAGAGGUUGAACGGCCACAUUGGGACUGAGACACGGCCCAGACUCCUACGGGAGGCAGCAGUGGGGAAUAUUGCACAAUGGGGGAAACCCUGAUGCAGCGACGCCGCGUGGAGGAAGAAGGUCUUCGGAUUGUAAACUCCUGUUGUUGGGGAAGAUAAUGACGGUACCCAACAAGGAAGUGACGGCUAACUACGUG
rnacentral:rRNA from 1 species